GACGAACGCUGGCGGCGUGCUUAACACAUGCAAGUCGAACGGUGAAGCUCCAGCUUUCUGGCGUGGAUCAUUGGCGAACGGGUGAGUAACACGUGAGCAACCUGCCCCUGACUCUGGGAUAAGCGCUGGAAACGGCGUCUAAUACUGGAUACGAGAAGUUUCCGCAUGGGCACUUUCUGUAAAGUUUUUCGGUUGGGGAUGGUCUCGCAGCUUAUCCGCUUGUUGGUGAGGUAAUGGCUGACCAGGGCUACGAAGGGUAGCCGGCCUGGGAGGGGGACCGGCCACAAUGGGCCUGCGGCACGGCCCAGAAGCCAACGGGAGGCAACAGGCGGGAAUAUUGCGGAGCGGGCGAGAGCCAGAUGCAGCGACGCCGCGUGAGGAAUGACGGCCUUCGGGUUGUAAACCUCUUUCAGAAGGGAAGAAGAGAUAGUGACGGUACCUGCAGAAGAAGCCCCGGCUAACUACGUG
rnacentral:rRNA from 1 species